UGCAAAGCUGGAACCAGCCUUGUUCCCACGA
rnacentral:piRNA from 1 species